CCGUACCAGCCUCUGUGCUCACACUGCCUCCUUGCAGCCUCACAAGGACUGCACAUCAAGGAGGUCAUUGGCCCCGAUUUAAAGAUGAGAAAACUCAGGCUGAGAGAGGUCAGCAGGAUUCUAGUUCAGGCCUUUCUCUCCCUCAAGGCCUGCUUUGUUCCUCUACCUGCCCUGCUUGCCUGCUGAGGUGAGGUGGAGUGGACUCUGACCUCACGCAAGCUUUGCCUUCCUUACCGCCUCUUAAACCAACCCGAAGAAGCAAAUAACAACGUAAAUCUCACAAUAGGCGAAAUUACGCAGAGGUGGCAACUACUGUUUCCUCGUGCCUGCUAUCAGACCCACUGUGUUUCUCCUCAUCUCAUCAGAGCCUCCUUGUUAUUUCCUUCCCAGAAUCCCUACCCUCCACACACCCACACCCACCCACAUGCACACACAUGAACACACAAGCACACUGACACACACACAGCACAUGCAUGCACAUACUAGCAUGCUCAUACACAUGCACAUACUUGAGCACUCAUGCACACACAUGCAUACACAAGCACACUCACACACCCACAUGCACACACAUGCACACAAAGCAGACUCACACACCCACAUGCACACACA
rnacentral:lncRNA from 10 species